rnacentral:lncRNA from 1 species
UUUGAUGAGGUCUCCGUUGUAGAAAACUGUGGUGUAAACCGUUCACGGCCUCCAGGUGAAGGGUAUUCAGUUCUCAUGGCACUGAGAUGUGGUGGAGAAUGGUGCUCGGUUGGUAACUCUGCUCUAAACUGAUCGUUGCUUCUAGCUGAAGUGUAUUGAGUUCUCAUGGCACUGAUAUGUGGUGGGGAAUGGUGCUCAGUUGGUAAAUCUGCUCUAAACUGAUUGUGACUUCCAGCUGAAGGGUAUUGAGUUCUCAUGGCACUGAUAUGUGGUGGGGAAUGGUGCUCGGUUGGUAAAUCUGCUCUAAACUGAUCAUGGCUUCCAGCUGAAGGGUAUUGAGUUCUCAUGGCACUUAGAUGUGGUGGAGAAUGGUGCUCAGUUGGUAACUCUGGGCGAAGCUGAUCAUGGCUUCCAGAAGAUGAGUAUUGAGUCUUUAUUUCACUUGAAUGCUGUGGUAAGGUUGUAACAGAUUGGUGUUGAAGUUUAGGUUCAGUUACAAUAGAAUAUUGUGGCAAAGAUUGUCCAUGACUUGUGUUAAAAGGGUGUUGUGGUAUAUGUUCAGUUGGUAACUCUGGUUUAAAUUGAACAUGGCUACCAGCAGAAGAGUACCCAGAUUCUCCUGCACCAGAAUAUGGUGGCAGAUGUGUGUCAUGGAUUGUGGCAGAAGAGUGUUGAGGUUUAGGCUCAUAUGCUAAAUCAUGACUUGUAGCAGAAUGGUACCGAGAUUCCGGUGGUAGAUAUUGGUCAUGGCCUGUGACAGGUAGCAAGUUUGAUGUAGUUUUUGUUGCAUUGGAGUAUUGAGGUAAAUUUUGGUCAUGACUUGUUUCAAAAUGGUGUUGAGGUUUAUGUUCAGUUGGUAGUAACGGUGUUGUGAAAUGAUCAUGGCUUGUAACAGAAGAAGGAUAUUGAGUCUUAGUUACAUUUGAGAAAUGUGGGAAGUU